rnacentral:lncRNA from 1 species
UCAAUGGCACCUCUACACCUCUACGCGACCCCAAAAAAAGCAAGGGGAGGACCCUCACUCAGAAAAGAGGAGAAAAAUUAAAAAGGAAAGCGACGAACUACAUCGACAGCAGAUGAAAAACAAACUAUACCAAAGACAUAGGGAACUUCAUCUCAACAAAGACGGGAGUUCCUACCGAACAUCCCCGGUCUCUAAGAAGGCUCUCGACAUGGGUCAAGAAAAUAAUGACUCCUUCAAGGUAAUGCGAAGUUCAGACCAUGAGCUCGAGCCUAGGGCCAAGGUAGACGCCAAGGAGGGUCAGGGCUCUCGAAGAAAAGGCAGACACCGAUAGAACUUUCGGGCGGAAUAGGGCCCCUAAAGGCUGAAGGGCGGGUUUAAAUGGACCCCGAGAUCCGACAUAAUGAUGAUCGCGAAUCCCCCUAGGCUAUCCCGCGCUCGCCACGUGUCCCACUCACCGCGGUAGGUGGCUAAAAGUGGCUAACAACUGACAGAGCCAUUACUGUACCGUACCUGGGCCAACAUACCAGCAAGAAUUCCGAAAGGUCCCUUCGAAUCAUCCCGAUUCGAAAAGACUCCAGCACACGUGCGUUUAAUGCCAAAAUAUCUGGGGGC